rnacentral:rRNA from 1 species
GAUGAACGCUGGCGGCGUGCCUAAUACAUGCAAGUCGAGCGAACGGACGAGAAGCUUGCUUCUCUGAUGUUAGCGGCGGACGGGUGAGUAACACGUGGAUAACCUACCUAUAAGACUGGGAGAACUUCGGGAAACCGGAGCUAAUACCGGAUGAUAUUUUGAACCGCAUGGUUCAAAAGUGAAAGACGGUCUUGCUGUCACUUAUAGAUGGAUCCGCGCUGCAUUAGCUAGUUGGUAAGGUAACGGCCUACCAAGGCAACGAUGCAUAGCCGACCUGAGAGGGUGAUCGGCCACACUGGAACUGAGACACGGUCCAGACUCCUACGGGAGGCAGCAGUAGGGAAUCUUCCGCAAUGGGCGAAAGCCUGACGGAGCAACGCCGCGUGAGUGAUGAAGGUCUUCGGAUCGUAAAACUCUGUUAUUAGGGAAGAACAUAUGUGUAAGUAACUGUGGACAUCUUGACGGUACCUAAUCAGAAAGCCACGGCUAACUACGUG